CUUAUGGCAGGAAAGAAAGGUAUCCCAAAAUGGCUGAUAAUCUGGCACAUAACAAAUUCCUGUACUUCCAGGUUGUGCUUCCUGCCUUACAGAACAGGCCUGGGCUACUGACCUUGCUCUAACUAAGCCUCUUCCCUGAUUAAAAGAAAUGAAGUUCCUUUGGCUGGAAUUCAGCAGCUCCCUUUGUCAUCGUUGACCAUGAAUGGAUGAACUUCAUGUAGAUGAUGCCCAUUUCCCAUCUUUGAAUCAAACAUUAAUACCAUUUGACAGUAAUAAAUAACAUUUAUCACAAUAGGGAUCUACUAAUGAUUUUCCCACUAAGCUGGCUCAUCAGAACCUAUCAGCUGACAACUGCAUAAAUGAGAUUAGCAUAACAGCUGCCUAUGACAAAUGUAUCUAAAUCAUUUUAAUGCCAGCUAGCUCUUUGAUCUCCCUAUCACGUUGUUGCCAAAACUAAAUCCAUUUCUUCAAGAUACAUGUUGUUUAUUACAGAUACAUGUGUAUAUUCCACACCAUUAUGUACUCCAGAGAUUUCAGUAAUUAAAAGAAUUAAAAAUACUGAUUGGAUACUGCCACUAUAAUGUAAACUUGCAACUCUGCACUUCAGAACAGCAUUCCACUGCCUACUUAGUCCCCUCCUCCUUCUCCAGAUUGCAGAAUUCAGUGUUUAAUAGCUGCAUGUUUCUCUGACACAAAAUACAUGUUUUAACGUAAAUACAUGUAUUAACUUCUCUUUCUGAGUAUCCCUUACAGCGGCAUCAUUUUCAUACAAUUUAGACUAAUUCCCAGUAAUAUAGGAGUUGGCUCCAGGCAAAUAUUGAAGCAACGAGUCAUUGCGUGUGCUUGUAUGAAUGCAAGACUGACAAAGAAAAUCUCACUGGUAGUGCAGCAUUCAUGUUGUGACUGUUAUUAAAGGGUUGCCUAUGAGAUUGUCAUACAAUCUCAUGACAACAGACUUCAGACAGACCAAUGACAAUAGCACUUCCAUAACCACACUUCUAAAAG
ensembl:lncRNA